AUGAGACACUUCUCUUCAUGGAAAGAGAUCAUAAGGCCAUGGGUCACUAGGCUUGCUUCUGCUUAUCUAACUUUGGAAAGCCUUCUAGGAAAAAAGGAUCAAUCGGGGAAGAUGGUGGUUGAUGGUAGAUGGGACAAGCUGAGAGAAGUUAAAUCAAAAAAGGUAAAGGUAGCAACAACUACGAUGAUGAGCAUGGCUUUUUGGAAAGAUUUGAAGCUUUGCCUGAAUGUCUUUGAGCCUUUGGUAAAAGUUCUGGUUUGGUUGAUGGGGACAUCAAGCCAUCUAUGGGUUUUGUUCAUGGAGAAAUAG
rnacentral:rRNA from 1 species